UACGGGGGGGGCAAGCGUUGUUCGGAAUUACUGGGCGUAAAGGGCUCGUAGGUGGCCAACUAAGUCAGACGUGAAAUCCCUCGGCUUAACCGGGGAACUGCGUCUGAUACUGGAUGGCUUGAGUUUGGGAGAGGGACGCGGAAUUCCAGGUGUAGCGGUGAAAUGCGUUGAUAUCCAGCGGAACUCCGGUGGCGAAGGCGAGGUGCUGGACCCUUUCUGACGCUGAGUGCGCGAAAGCCAGGGGAGCAAACGGG
rnacentral:rRNA from 1 species